rnacentral:snRNA from 1 species
GUGCUCACUUCGGCAGCACAUAUACUAAAAGAAGAUCAGCUUGGCCCCUGCUCAAGGAUGACACAAAAUUCAUGAAGCGUUCCAUAUUUUA